AGCGCAGACGGUUUAUUAAGUCUGAUGUGAAAGCCCGGAGCUCAACUCCGGAAUGGCAUUGGAAACUGGUUAACUUGAGUGCAGUAGAGGUAAGUGGAACUCCAUGUGUAGCGGUGGAAUGCGUAGAUAUAUGGAAGAACACCAGUGGCGAAGGCGGCUUACUGGACUGCAACUGACGUUGAGGCUCGAAAGUGUGGGUAGGCAAACA
rnacentral:rRNA from 1 species